rnacentral:rRNA from 1 species
UGGCGAACGGGUGCGUAACGCGUAAGAAUCUACCCUUUAGUGAAGAAUACCUCCGAGAAAUCGGGGCUAAUACUGCAUACGUCCCUACGGGGAGAAAGGUGGCCUCUUGCUACCGCUGAAGGAUGAGCUUGCGUAUUAUUAGCUUGUUGGUGAGGUAAAGGCUUACCAAGGCUUUGAUGAUUAGCCGACCUGAGAGGGUGAUCGGCCACAUUGGGACUGAGAUACGGCCCAGACUCCUACGGGAGGCAGCAGUGGGGAAUAUUGCACAAUGGACGCAAGUCUGAUGCAGCGACGCCGCGUGGAGGAUGACGGUUUUCGGAUUGUAAACUCCUGUUAAGUGGAAAGAAAGAGGCAUGGUUAAUACCCAUGCAAGAUGACGGUACCACUAGAGAAAGCUCCGGCUAACUUCGUGCCAGCAGCCGCGGUAAUACGAAGGGAGCAAGCGUUAUUCGGAAUUACUGGGCGUAAAGGGCGUGUAGGCGGUUUAUUAAGUCAGUUGUUAAAGACCAUGGCUUACCCAUGGAACAGCAAUUGAUACUGGUGAACUAAGAGGGCAAGAGAGAGAAGUGGAAUUCUCGGAGUAGCGGUAAAAUGCGUAGAUCUCGAGAGGAACACCGAUAGCGAAGGCAGCUUCUUGGCUUGUACCUGACGCUGAG